rnacentral:lncRNA from 1 species
CAACUUUAGAUUAAGAGGAAUUGAGAUAGAGAUUACCCUCGAUGAUUAUUUUUCAUUCAAUAAUCAGAGUGUUACCUUUGAUGAAAAGGCCUUCACUUGCAAACUUCUUGAUGAUACUCUUCACAAUAAUCAGAGUGUUACCUUUGAUGAAAAGGCCUUCACUUGCAAACUCCUCGUUUAUAAUGGAAUGAAGAUGAGAAAAUCUAAUAGAGGAUUUAGCAGAGGAUUUAGUACCACCAAAAUCUCCUUUAGCCGACCAACCUCGAUUGUCUAUCUCUUUGUUCGUUCGCUCAUUAGAAACCCUAAUGAGAGAUAGAGAGAUAAAGUUGCUUUUAUACUCACAUGUGUGAAAUUUCCACAAAAUCCUUCCCAUAUAUGAUCAUUUAGUAUUAGUGGGCCUACUAGGCCUUUUUUAGAUUGAAAUUGUCAUACAGCUUAAGUCA